rnacentral:rRNA from 1 species
UACGGGAGGCAGCAGUGGGGAAUUUUGGACAAUGGGGGAAACCCUGAUCCAGCCAUUCCGCGUGUGCGAUGAAGGCCUUCGGGUUGUAAAGCACUUUUGGCAGGAAAGAAAUCGCACAAAUUAAUACUUUGUGUGGAUGACGGUACCUGCAGAAUAAGCACCGGCUAACUACGUGCCAGCAGCCGCGGUAAUACGUAGGGUGCAAGCGUUAAUCGGAAUUACUGGGCGUAAAGCGUGCGCAGGCGGUUCGGAAAGAGAGGUGUGAAAUCCCAGGGCUUAACCUGGGAACUGCACUUUUAACUCCCGAGCUAGAGUAUGUCAGAGGGGGGUGGAAUUCCGCGUGUAGCAGUGAAAUGCGUAGAUAUGCGGAGGAACACCGAUGGCGAAGGCAGCCCCCUGGGAUAAUACUGACGCUCAUGCACGAAAGCGUGGGGAGCAAACAGGAUUAGAUACCCUGGUAGUCCACGCCCUAAACGAUGUCAACUAGCUGUUGGGGGCUUCGGCCCUUAGUAGCGCAGCUAACGCGUAAGUGA